UAGGGAAUCUUCCGCAAUGGACGGAAGUCUGACCGAGCAACGCCGCGUGAGUGAAGAAGGUUUUCGGAUCGUAAAGCUCUGUUGUAAGAGAAGAACGAGUGUGAGAGUGGAAAGUUCACACUGUGACGGUAUCUUACCAGAAAGGGACGGCUAACUACGUGCCAGCAGCCGCGGUAAUACGUAGGUCCCGAACGUUGUCCGGAUUUAUUGGGCGUAAAGCGAGCGCAGGCGGUUAGAUAAGUCUGAAGUUAAAGGCUGUGGCUUAACCAUAGUAGGCUUUGGAAACUGUUUAACUUGAGUGCAAGAGGGGAGAGUGGAAUUCCAUGUGUAGCGGUGAAAUGCGUAGAUAUAUGGAGGAACACCGGUGGCGAAAGCGGCUCUCUGGCUUGUAACUGACGCUGAGGCUCGAAAGCGUGGGGAGCAAACAGGAUUAGAUACCCUGGUAGUCCACGCUGUAAACGAUGAGUGCUAGGUGUUAGACCCUUUCCGGGGUUUAGUGCCGUAGCUAACGCAUUAAGCACUCCGCCUGGGGAGUACGACCGCAAGGUUG
rnacentral:rRNA from 1 species